UCUCACUCUCACUCAGCUCUCUUUGGUUAGCUUCUGACUUCUGAGCAAAGAGAGAGAACAGCUAGUUUGACCACGAUUUGUACUAAUUUCGAAGCUGAAUUUGAAGUUGGUGAUGUUGAAGAAAAGAUAGAUCAUGGGAAUAACGAAUGAUCAUGCUACAACUACAAUAAUCAAAGAACAAGAAAGCAUUUCAUUGGGUCCAAAUAAACAAAAACCAAUGAAGAAGAAACAGAUGGUCCAUGGAAAUCAAAGCAACAAGCGUGCAAGGUUGGUUCAGAGAAAACAAAAUGGUGACAUUGAGUUUGCUUCGAGUACAACAGUUGACGAACAC